GUAAUUGUUCAUCUCUUUGAUUGUGUAUAGGAGUCAAGGAACAUGCUGUCCAAUACUGCAUUGGUCAGUCAGUACCUGUGGAUUCAUGUUGCUUUUGGCUUGUGGAUGCACUUUAUUUUCUGUUGGUGUGUCUUUUUUGCUGACUGCUCAAUUUGGUAAAAUGUCAUGACAUGCACUAAAAUGUGUGAGUUUUAAGAUUUAGCAGUAAUUGAUAGG
rnacentral:misc_RNA from 1 species